UUGAGACCACAGAGUCAGUCCAAGGCCAGCAUGAGCUGCAUAGCGAGACCCUGUCUCAAAAAGACCAAAGAAAAGGGGGUUAGCAAGGAGUUGUGGUGAUGCAUAUACUGAUAGUACCUGAGCGUGGCUGAUCACCCCUUCACCAGCGGAUGGUCUCAAACUUAAACAUGUAUCACCUGGAGGGCUUGCCCAAACGCAGAUUGCCGGCCGCAGGGCCCAGCGACUCUGAUGCAGUAGGUCUACAGGACAGGCCAAGAGUUGGCAUUUUUAAGAUGCCGGUGAUGCUGAAGCUUUGGUUCAGGGGCCACAGCUUGAGUCCUGCUGAGCUUGGUCACAGCGAGGAGGAAAGACAUCCCAGGAGUGGGGAAGAGCCUGUGCAGAGACAGGAGGAGCGCUCCGCGCAGCGCUGCUCAGAAAGUGAUAUGCAAAUCGUGAGGUUCGCGCAGGUGGGCUGCCGGUGUCAGGCGAUGAAGGACUCGUGCGUCCAGGCGUGGAGUCUGGACUUCAUCCUGGAGAGAAGGGGGGCCAGAGCAGCUGCCUGUGGAAGGAAGGAGAGAUUGGCGGGUCCGAAAGAUCACUUUGGAGGGCAAGUGCGGGGAGGAGACAGGAGCCAGGGGGUUGGCGGGCCUUCUGCUGUCCACAGUCCUGGCGGUGAGGAGCGGCCAGAAACCCAGCCGAGCAGCAAUUCGCACAGAAACAACAGCACGGACAAGUGCUCAGCGGGCAGUGCAGGCCCGCGCAGCCCCUGUGCACCAUCUCCUCACUCCCGCUAAGAGCCUGGGGUCGGAGGGUCACAUUGCCGCUUGGACAAGUUGGGAACCUGACUAAAGCCAGGACGGGGCACAGGCAAACCCAGAGUGCGGAGACAGUCAUCGUAGCUGCUUCCCCGAGGUGAUGGCAAAAAGAGCUUGCAGAAAAUCAAAGACAGGAGACAACCGAGCCGGGGGUCCCGCUGGUUCUUUCCUCUGGAGACAAGGAACGGACCUCAGGACCCUGCGCUUGCCAGGCAGGCGCCACGCUGCUGAGCUGUACCCCUGGCCCUAAGGAGAUGGAAACAGGGCAGGAAGCGCACCGCGGGCCAGGGACCAGCACCUGCAAAGCCCUGGAGAGAAGGAAGGGCAUCGCCUCCCUGUGACCGCUCUGCCGAAGUUGGGUCUCAGAGCUCUGCACAGUGUGACUGCCAGACCUCGGAGCCCUGCGCGGGACUCAGACUGCUGCUCCUUGACUGAGGCUGUCAGAGCAUCCUGACUUUGGCCUCGGGUAUUUCAGCAGCGCUGGCCACUGCGUACAGCACUCUGCUCCACCCUGGGGGAGACACUGGGAGGUGCAGGGGACUCCUGCCCUCAAGGGGGGCUUGAGAUGCAGUUGUUGGGGGCUGGCGCGGGGGCAACACACCCGUUUUCCUGGCACUCUACGGGCCCAGGCAGGAGGAUCACAGCUCAGUGAUUUAGCAGCUCUGUCCCCCAUAAAAAAAAAAAAGGAAAUGCUAGGAAUGCAGCUCAGUGCAAAGGCCCCAGUACGAAAAAAAACAAGCAAGCAAA